rnacentral:rRNA from 1 species
AUGGACAUCGUAGACACUGCUCAAUUCCCCUUUUAUGGGAAGGAGGCCAGCUUUUUCAGGACCCCCCCAGCGAUCCGGGAUUUUGUGGAUGGAUUCUAUAAGUCACUAUUUGCCGGGCGACCUAGGGGUGGUGUCUCUCUAGGGGACCACAUAUGGACGCCAAGCCAACAUAUCUCCCCUGUAGAGAAUGCUGCUCUCCUCGCAUCCUUUGAUGCCACUAAGGUGGAGACUUUUGUGAAAGCAAUGAACCCGGCCUCGGCCCUGGGUCCCAAAUGGUCUGUCGGUCCGGUUGUUCCAAGCUUUCUGGCUGAUGGUCAAGGAUGUCAUCCUCGACCUGUUCCUUGA